CCUACGGGCGACAGCAGUCGAGAAUCAUUCACAAUGGGGGAAACCCUGAUGGUGCGACGCCGCGUGGGGGAAUGAAGGUCUUCGGAUUGUAAACCCCUGUCAUGUGGGAGCAAAUUAAAAAGAUAGUACCACAAGAGGAAGAGACGGCUAACUCUGUGCCAGCAGCCGCGGUAAUACAGAGGUCUCAAGCGUUGUUCGGAAUCACUGGGCGUAAAGUGUGCGUAGGCUGUUUCGUAAGUCGGGUGUGAAAGGCGCGGGCUCAACCCGCGGACGGCACAUGAUACUGCGAGAUGAGAGUAAUGGAGGAGGAACCGGAAUGCUCGGUGGAGCAGUGAAAUGCGUAGAUAUCGAGAGGAACACUCGUGGCGAAGGCGGGUUCCUGGACAUUAACUGACGCUGAGGCACGAAGGCCAGGGGAGCGAAAGGGAUUAGAUACCCGUGUAGUC
rnacentral:rRNA from 1 species